UAGCCAAAGCCAAGGCAGAAGUAGUACUGAUUAAGACAGGAGAUGAAAUUGAUCGUACCUUUUUAACCGACCUUAUCCGUUGCUUACGGAGCCUUAGAAUACCAAAGAAAAGUGUAUCAAAUAGUUUGAAGGAGCGAGAACGCUUGACAGAAGUAUGUUUCUUAAUACCAGAACGGGAACGAUUAUGCAUAGGGGUAUUUAAUUUUUCACUCGAUAUACAUAACUUAGAGGGAUCUUCAAUGUUGACAGAAGUAGGAAGUUGCGAUGGACUGCGCAUAUCAUUUGCCUGCGCAUCAUUAGUGCCUUGACGGGUAUAACUGGAAUUUUGAUGUGGAAGCAUGGUAAUAAAUUUUAAGAAAAAGAGAAAAUAAAAGUAAAAUGGAAACAAAUCACAAUCAAAGGUGAAGUGAUGGGAUUAAAGGUUUUAAUGAGAAAAUAAUUCGACAAAUAUGUAACAAAGGGAAACUUUUUUUUUGAAUUACACGAAAUGUUUUCAAACUUGAAUUAUGCACAAAAUUAGAGAAACCUGAGAAUAAUAAAUAAGCUUGA